GGAGAAAAGCAGGGGAUCGCAAGACCUUGCGCUAAAGGAGCGGCCGAUGUCUGAUUAGCUAGUUGGUGGGGUAAAGGCUUACCAAGGCAACGAUCAGUAGUUGGUCUGAGAGGACGGCCAACCACACUGGGACUGAGACACGGCCCAGACUCCUACGGGAGGCAGCAGUGGGGAAUUUUGGACAAUGGGCGAAAGCCUGAUCCAGCCAUGCCGCGUGAGUGAAGAAGGCCUUCGGGUUGUAAAGCUCUUUUAGUCGGAAAGAAAGAGUCACAAUGAAUAAUUGUGAUUUAUGACGGUACCGACAGAAAAAGCACCGGCUAACUACGUGCCAGCAGCCGCGGUAAUACGUAGGGUGCGAGCGUUAAUCGGAAUUACUGGGCGUAAAGGGUGCGCAGGCGGUUUUGCAAGUCAGAUGUGAAAGCCCCGGGCUUAACCUGGGAAUUGCGUUUGAAACUACAAAGCUAG
rnacentral:rRNA from 1 species